AGAAAACGCUGGGGGAGUUUCGACUGAGAGCGGCCAAUAUGGCUGUGACCCUUAGUACCUGAUCCGGGUAAUGCCGGCGUAGGGAAGCGCGAUGAAGUAACA
rnacentral:ncRNA from 2 species